UGCACGGGUGGCAGAGGGGAGGGAGGCAAGGAAAAUAGCUUUGAAAAAGCUCUCAACCUUUUGGUAUCUCCAGAUCUGUGCUACAACAGCCAGUAGAUGCGGUCUGUAGCUAGGGCUUUGCCUGGCUGCCCAGCAGGUUGAUGCAGGGCGUUGCUCAGCAAGGAGGUGCAUUUCUGAAGUGGUGUCUUGCUCAUUUUAUAUCGUUGUAUCACAUGUGGAUGUUAAAAUACUGCACACAAGAAGAAAAUGCUUCAUACCAUGCAUCUUUCCACUAGAAAGCAAAUGAAAUGACAGCAGUUAAGUCCUUCAUUAACUGUAAGUUAAGCACUGGCGGGGAACCAGUCCUGAAACAACAGGGACCAUAACAUGACAACUCUUUAGAAGAUGCUUUGAUUUCCCGUUCUUAAAACUAGUGAUGAAAACUUACUUCUUUUUCAGCAGUCCAGCUUAAAGGCAUCGCAUAUGGUGGGAUUCAGCUAACUAGAGGUGUGCUUGUGUUGGGAAUGUUUUGCAGCUAUACCUCAAAGUACUGGAAAUACUUAAAUACCAUAUGAAGUACCAAGUUCAGCUUUUGGAGUUUUUUUAUGGUUGUACCCAGCAGAAUCCUUCUAAAGGAAAAUAAAAUUGUCCUGCAGGGCAGCAUGCUUCUUUUCAAGCAAUGCACAAAGCUAAUAGCUGCAAAAAUGCAUUAGAAUAAACUUUUAGUUUUGUUUUGCUUGCAGA